GCGAGUAUAGUUUAGUGGUAAAACCUUGGUCUUCCAAAUCAACGAUGUGGGUUCGAUUCCCAUUGCUCGCU
rnacentral:tRNA from 1 species